UACGUAGGGGGCUAGCGUUGUCCGGAAUCAUUGGGCGUAAAGCGCGUGUAGGCGGCUCGUUAAGUCCGCUGUGAAAUUCCAGGGCUCAACCCUGGGAUGCCGGUGGAUACUGUCGGGCUCGAGUCCGGAAGAGGCGAGUGGAAUUCCUGGUGUAGCGGUGAAAUGCGCAGAUAUCAGGAGGAACACCAAUGGCGAAGGCAGCUCGCUGGGCCGUGACUGACGCUGAGACGCGAAAGCGUGGGGAGCAAACAGG
rnacentral:rRNA from 1 species